CCCAUGCCACUAUGCUAUCUCUAAUUCUGCCAUCCAGACCGAGCAAACGUACUUAAGACCUUUGUGUAAGAUCAGAAAAUCAUAAGACAGCAUUAAAAAGUACUAUACAGGAGGAGAUGGAACAAGAUGGCCAAAUAGAAGCCUCCAGCAAUCAUCUCCCCGAAAGGAAUUGAACAACUAUCAAAACAAAAUUGAACAACUAUCUAAACAAAAAAGUACCUUCAUAAAAAACAAAAAUCAGGACAAUAUCAGAACGGCACAUACAAGUGUCCCCAAGUCAUAUUUGGAAUAAGAUCACUUGGGAACACAAGUCAAAGAAGGACACAGUGUUCUGCCUCUCCUGAGUAAGCAGCAACAACGCACCAUCUUGGAAUCAGGGGACGGCCCUCACCAGACAACUAAAUCUGCAGACACCUUGGACUUCCCAGCCUCCAGAACUGUCUUUCUGGCAACUGUCUAAACAUAAACCAGAGAAGGGCAAGGCAGACUCAGGAAGGACAAAUAGAAGGCUAUUUUCAUAAAUCGGGUCACCUUGUUCUAGCAGAUAGAAACUGAAUCAAUAUGGUUCUGCCUUCAGUGCAGACAAUAUGGAAGAGUGUGACAGAUGUUAUCAUUGCUCCAUUGUGUACGAGCGUAGGACGAUGCUUCUCUUCUGUCAGCCUG
rnacentral:lncRNA from 1 species